UCCCUGGUGGCUCAUGGUAAAGAGUCUGCCUGCCAGUGUAGAAGACACGGGUUCAAUCCCUGAUCAGGGAA
rnacentral:tRNA from 1 species